UUCAAUUUACCAUCAUUCAAUCAAAAAAUAUGUUCAUUAGACAUCUGUAAAUUUUUUUGCAAAACUUGUAUACCAUAAAAAAUACAAAAAAAAAAUAGAUUUUAAAAUGGAAAAAAGUAUAGAAAAAUAUUUUGCUGUAAUUACCUAUAAAAAUUUACAUUUAGUUGUGGAAACUUAGGUAAUAGUGGUGGUCGGUGGUACUUUUGCUGGCCGUGUCAGGCUCCGAAGCCACGGCGGUGUGGUACAAUAGUAGAGUCUUCAAGGCAUAUCCAGUGUAGCGUACUUCGUUGUGGACCAUCAAGUUACAGCUGCUUUAGUCAAGGCUUUUCAUUAUUAAUGUCUACUGAAGCAAAUGCCUUCGCGUCCAUUGAGGAUGAAAAACCAAGAUUGAAGCAUUCACUGACUUUAGAAUAUAAUUCCUCGUGCAGAAAGAACGUAAGAAGAACUUUGAGGAAAAUUUUAAAUAGUAAAAAGAUCUGCAAAGUAUGGAGUUGAAUACAUGGUAUAUUUUAUGGCAGCUGAUAUGUCAAUUUUCGACAAUCUAUUUUCUUUGGCGACGUCUUCUGAAAAAUGUAGGCAGAGCCUCAAUAGGGAUGGAAGACGCCAAUUUACUUAAAGAUCAAAGAUAUUUCGCAUCUUUGAUUCCCGAGCAACUCCACAUUUGUUGGUUGUUGACUGAACGGGAAACCAGAACUGGUGAACAGAAGAGAUUAUUAAAACCUCUUGACGUAAGCCAGUUGAAGAUAAUUCCACGUUUAUGAAGACAUAUUGACAUUACAUGAGGUGUUCGUGGCAUCAUUUCAUACCAGGACUUCAUAUCCCAACUGCAGUAUUAGAGUUGAGUUUGCAGAAAGAAGUAUUCUAAGGAGUAUUUAUUCGGAGAACUUCUGUUACUAGAACAGCUGCAUUUAAUAACUUUGUAAGCUGACCAAGAGAUUACCUGGGAAUGCUAUACAAACAGUUUCAACUCCAUUAAAUGAAAAAAAAAAGGAAUUAGUGUCGCGUAAACUAAUUUUGGAUAAAGAAAUUUUAGGAGAAGUUAUCGCAUUCAGAGGAAUGCUUUUAUGUAAAUGUAUUCGCUUUAUGUGAUAGUAAAUUUUGUUUUUUUUUUUUCAUAAUAAAUUAUUUUUUUAAAUUCA